GUUCACCUCAAUGGAUCAGUGAUAUUGGCGACUUGCACCUGGGAUUCAGGAAAAACCUCCAUGCUUGUAACCAGCUUUGCAGGUCUGAAUGGCUUCAACUUCCUGAAUGUAACCGGUCAGAGGGAGGUCAACAAAGUUGCUGACUUCGAGGCAGCGGUCACCGUCAAAAUGCCAACUGAUAGACUUCAUGACAUCGUCCGUUAUCUGGAAAUCAAUCUUGGAGCUGUGCUUAAGAUUGACACUGAAGGAAUGGUCACCAUAGAGGCCCCAACGACUACAGUGUGCUACGAGUCGACUCCGCAACUGAAAUGCAAAUUUGAGGAGGUGUCGGACAACGCUGGCUGGAGCAAGAAGACUUUGAAUGAGAGCCUUGGCCUCAACACAGGCAGCGUGGUGAAAAUGAUUGACAACUGUGCCACAGAGGAAUACAAGUCUUGUGUCGGAGUUAAACUCCAGAAUGUGACAGGCCUUUGGUCAGGCUUAUAUGAGUGUGCAUUCACCAGCGGGUCAGUCAGGCACAUAGCCAAGACAUCACUGACAGUCGUGCUCCUGCCUGACUAUAUCAACCUGGACAUCGACCCUAUUUCUGCAGACUGUUCUGAAAAGACACCAACCCAAAAGGUUACCAUGAGGGUCAAUGCGACCAUCUCAGACUCCACUGAAAGCUACAAUGUUUGGUGGAGCUUCAAUGGUAAACGGAAGGGUAAUCUAUACAACACGUCUGAUGGAUAUGACCUAGUCUACACUUUCUCCGUUGACAUCAGUUGCCAAGAAAACCCUGUCUCACAAGAGGUUUCUGUCACCUUUGAGAACAUCGUGGGGCAAAAUAAAAGUGCAAAAGUGAUUAUCCCAGUGGUUUAUCAGGGGGCACCAUUUUGCAAAGCGGGAUAUGACGACACUGGAGAGUUUUGGCCAAUUUGCCCAGCUGAGGACACAUUGAUUGAUAAGAAAUGCAAACCGGGCAGAGUUGGCUAUAGGUCACGCACUUGUAAAGGCAGAAAUUGGCAGCCUCCGAUCUCCUUCUGUGUCGACCAAGAGUUGAAUAAAGUUUCAAAUGCUGCAGAUUACUUCCUGAUGGGACUUGGGGCUACCGAGGAGGGAGCCGUCAAUAUAUUUUCCGGACUUAAGAACAGAUCUACAGUCGAUUCGGAUUCCCCUGACUCAAUCGCCGACAUUUAUCAAUCCAUCGAUGUUCUAAAUGUGAUGGCGAGAGCAUCAGAUAAUUUUCUCUUGGAAGAGAACAUCUUUCCUGUAAGUCCCAGAUGGUUAUCCCUGUUUUUUUUUGUACACACAGGGUUUAUAACUUGGAUAUAUAUUUAUAUCUUAGAGGU
ensembl:lncRNA